rnacentral:rRNA from 1 species
UACAGAGGUCUCAAGCGUUGUUCGGAUUCAUUGGGCGUAAAGGGUUCGUAGGCGGUGCGGCAAGUUGGGAGUGAAAUCUCUGGGCUUAACCCAGAGACGGCUUCCAAAACUGCUGUGCUUGAGUGUGGGAGAGGCUCGUGGAAUUGCAGGUGUAGCGGUGAAAUGCGUAGAUAUCUGCAGGAACACCCGUGGCGAAAGCGGCGAGCUGGACCACUACUGACGCUGAAGAACGAAAGCUAGGGGAGCAAACAGG